GAGUCACGGGCUCACGGCGAGUCGGCGACUCCCUAUCUGGCCUUCCACAGUUCCACUCUCCUGCUCCAGCCUUCUGCUCCAGCUUACCCCAUAUACAAGCAUACAAAUCUUGCCUCCGCAUCUAAUCUGACCAGAGGAACCUGCUCAGACCCAUGGAGAUCAAGAUGAAAGACGCAUGGGGCCUGCUGCUCGUGGUCCUCCUCGGCCAGCUCGUUGCCUUCUCGAUGGCCGUCGCCAGCUUCGCCUCCUCCCUGAUUGCUAAUCUUGGAGUUGAUGCACCACUUACACAAUCAUUCUUCGCAUACCUCCUGUUGACCUUAGCUUAUGUGCCAAUCCUCUUUUGUCGUCGUCAGAAGCUGCGAAUACCUUGGUUUUGGUACUUAGCACUGUCCUUGAUUGAUGUGCAGGGAAACUAUCUGGUUGUCAAGGCGUACCAAUACUCAUACAUCACCAGCGUAACAUUGCUGGAUUGUUGGACUGUUUUAUGGGUCAUCUUACUCACCUGGUAUGCACUAGGCACAAGAUAUUCUUUCUGGCAAUUUCUGGGAGCAGGGACGUGUGUGGCAGGGCUUAGUCUUGUGCUCCUUUCAGAUGUGAAAUCUCCAGAUGAGCAGGAUCCACGUAAAAUCCCACUUCUAGGGGAUGCCCUUGUUAUUGCCGGGACAGUUUGUUAUGCACUUAGCACGGUUGGUCAGGAAUAUGGUGUCAAGACAACAGAUCGAAUAGAAGUUGUCGCAAUGCUUGGACAAUUUGGAUUACUUGUCAGCACAAUUCAGAUAUUUAUAUUCGAAAGGAAGAGCCUAGAAGCAGUUGUCUGGUCUCCAACAAUGAUAAGCUUGUUCACAGGAUUUGCCAUUGCAAAUUUUGUGUUCUACACCAUUACUUCUUUUGUCCUUAAGAUGAGUGGAGCAACAUUGUUUAACCUCUCACUCCUAACAUCUGACAUGUGGGUAGUCGCUAUUCGAGUUUUUGUCUAUCAACAACAGAUAAACUGGCUGUACUAUCUAGCAUUCGUAGUUGUGGCCAUUGGAUUGGUCAUCUACUCAUUAAAUGAGAGUUCCCUGGGUGAUGGACCAACUUUAAGUACAGAAGUAACAACUCAAUAUCAACAACUCCAACUGAGGAUAACUCAACAGGAAGCGGUCCUGAUUUGGACAGACAAUAAAGGAACCAACAGGAAGAAGCUCACAUCUGUUAG